GACGAACGCUGCGGCGUGCUUAACACAUGCAAGUCGAACGAAGAGCGAUGGAAGCUUGCUUCUAUCAAUCUUAGUGGCGAACGGGUGAGUAACGCGUAAUCAACCUGCCCUUCAGAGGGGGACAACAGUUGGAAACGACUGCUAAUACCGCAUACGAUCUAACCUCGGCAUCGAGGAUAGAUGAAAGGUGGCCUCUACAUGUAAGCUAUCACUGAAGGAGGGGAUUGCGUCUGAUUAGCUAGUUGGAGGGGUAACGGCCCACCAAGGCGAUGAUCAGUAGCCGGUCUGAGAGGAUGAACGGCCACAUUGGGACUGAGACACGGCCCAGACUCCUACGGGAGGCAGCAGUCGGGGAAUCUUCCGCAAUGGACGAAAGUCUGACGGAGCAACGCCGCGUGAGUGAUGACGGCCUUCGGGUUGUAAAGCUCUGUUAAUCGGGACGAAAGGCCUUCUUGCGAAUAGUGAGAAGGAUUGACGGUACCGGAAUAGAAAGCCA
rnacentral:rRNA from 1 species